rnacentral:lncRNA from 1 species
GUAGUAUUGAGCGCAGUCUUAGCAAGUUGCUUGGCUUACCCGCCAGGCAUCGGCUAUGCUUACUCGGCCAUUUCACCAUUGACGGCCUACAGCAGCAUUGCCGCCCCUUACCCGUACGCCUUCGGUACACCCGCCAUCUCUGCUGCUCCCUUCGCCGCCCCUAUUGCCCCAAUCGCUCCCAUUGCCCAAGUGGCUGCUGCGACUAAAACCCAAUACCACUCCCAAGAUGAGCUUGGCCAAGCCAAAUACGGCCAUUCUGAACCCCCUCCAGGCUCACACAGCUGUUCAGGAUGCUCACGGUAACAAGAUUGGAAGCUUCAGCUAUGUCGACCCACAUGGAGCAGUCCAUCAGACCAACUACAUCGCUGAUGGAGCUGGCUACCGUGUGGUGUCCAACGACUUGCCUGUAGCGCCUGCUGCCCCUCUCCCAGCUCUUCACCGAAGAAGACGCCAGGCUUCAUGGAACGGACCAAUUGCUUCUCCCGUUGUUACACCAACGGUCACUUACAAGAGACCCCAGAGGUUGCUGCUGCCAAGGCAGCCCAUUUCGCCGAACAUGCCAGACUAAACUCCGUCCCAGCUCAACCGUGGUCCCAGCCUCAAGCUGCCCCAGCACAACAGUGGAACCCGCCUCAGAAUUCCUGGAUCGAACAAAGUCAGGCUAGAAGCAGCUGGAGCCAACCUCAAGCUGCCCCAGUUCCACAAUGGAACCAUCAACCAGCUGCCGUCGUCCCUUCCUGGCAGUCACAACAAUGGAACCAAGCUCCAGCCCAAAGUGCCCCUAUUGCUGAUGCCCCAGAUGUAGCUGCCGCCAAAGCUGCCCAUCUCAGUGAGCACAAUCGCGUUGAGGCCGCUGCUAAGGCUGCUGCUGCUCAGGUCGCUGCCUCAGGAUCCCAAGGCCAAGAGGACGAUGGAUCAUACAGACCCGAGUAUCAGAAUGAAGGAGUCCCUGCUGCUCAAGUUGCCACUCCCUACUCUUGCUGGAACCAAGCUCCGGCCCAGAGCUGGAACCCAACCCAAUCAUGGGGACAGUCACCCAGUGGUGGCAUUCCUGACACCCCUGAGGUAGCUGCUGCUAAGGCUGCCCAUCUCGCUGAACACGCCGCUGCUUCUCGCAGAUCUAAGCGUUCCGUUCUACUCCAAACACCCGCUAGCACAGCUCCUCUUGCUGCCCCUCUGGCCUACCCUGCUGCCCCUGUGCCCUACACUGCUGCUCCUGUAGCUUUACUCCGCCCCAGCCCUCGGACUCCCAGCCAUUAGGACUGACAUCGUUCAUAACCCAGGACAUGCCCAGAGUUACAGAAUCGAUGCCCUUCAUUAAACUGAGUUCAAUGCUCGUCCACAUCGUCCCAUUUACCAGGACAUACCGUGAGCUAUAAAACCGAUCGAAGUAACUAAUAAUGUUUGCUUAGUCGCAGAGGAGACCAUCGGACCUCUGAAAAAAUGUGAUACCUAGUUGUAAAUAGGAUAUAAAAUUUUAGGAUUAAUUUAUUGUAAAUAAUUCCUAGGAUCUAUUCAAUUUAUU